rnacentral:rRNA from 1 species
UGAGGAAUAUUGGUCAAUGGGCGAGAGCCUGAACCAGCCAAGUAGCGUGCAGGAUGACGGCCCUAUGGGUUGUAAACUGCUUUUAUAUGGGAAUAAAGUGAGGGACGUGUCCCUUAUUGCAUGUACCAUACGAAUAAGGACCGGCUAAUUCCGUGCCAGCAGCCGCGGUAAUACGGAAGGUCCAGGCGUUAUCCGGACUUAUUGGGUUUAAAGGGAGCGUAGGCUGUUUGUUAAGCGUGUUGUGAAAUGUAAGAGCUCAACUUGUAGAUUGCAGCGCGAACUGGCAGAUUUGAGUGCGCACAACGUAGGCGGAAUUCGUGGUGUAGCGGUGAAAUGCUUAGAUAUCAUGACGAACUCCGAUUGCGAAGGCAGCUUACGGGAGCGCAACUGCCGCUAAAGCUCGAAGGUGCGGGUAUCGAACAGG